GAAUUGACGGGGGCCCGCACAAGCAGUGGAGUAUGUGGUUUAAUUCGAAGCAACGCGAAGAACCUUACCAGGUCUUGACAUCCACCGAAUCCGGAAGAGAUUCUGGAGUGCCCUUCGGGGAGCGGUGAGACAGGUGGUGCAUGGUUGUCGUCAGCUCGUGUCGUGAGAUGUUGGGUUAAGUCCCGCAACGAGCGCAACCCUUGUUAAUAGUUGCUACGCAAGAGCACUCUAUUAAGACUGCCGUUGAUAAAACGGAGGAAGGUGGGGAUGACGUCAAAUCAUCAUGCCCCUUAUGACCUGGGCUACACACGUACUACAAUGGCCGCCAACAAAGGGAAGCAAUACCGCGAGGUGGAGCGAAUCCCCAAAAGCGGUCCCAGUUCAGAUUGCAGGCUGCAACCCGCCUGCAUGAAGACGGAAUUGCUAGUAAUCGCGGAUCAGCAUGCCGCGGUGAAUACGUUCCCGGGCCUUGUACACACCG
rnacentral:rRNA from 1 species